rnacentral:rRNA from 1 species
AUGGAGAACCACACCAAAGCCUCCAGGAAGGACCAUUUAAAAAGCGGAAGAUAUCCACCUUUGCACUUGAAACACUAUCUGCUAUUGCGCUCAUUGUUCUGCCCUGAUGCUUGCCUGUGUUUUAGGUCAUCUACCAAGUUUGAUAGUGGCACUGGAUGGCCGUCAUAUUACCAGCCGGUUGGCGACAAUGUGAAAAGCAAGCUUGAUAUGUCGAUCUUCUUCAUGCCCCGGACCGAGUCCCUGUGCGCCGUCUGCGACGCUCAUCUGGGCCACGGUUUUGACGACGGGCCACCGCCGACGGGGAAGAGAUACUGCAUCAACAGUGCGUCUCUGAAGUUUAAGCCCCAGUAG